AUUCAUUCCUGUAAUUUUGCUGACUUGCGUGCUGCAGUCUCAUUUAAUAACUGCACGUUCUAGUGAUUUUUACAGAGAGAUUACAGGGAACUGUCCAUAAACCAGUAACUGCACAAAAUAUUUACAUUUCACAUUAUAAAAUCAACCUGCAAAAUCACUUCCAAACCUCAUUUUAUUGCAAAACCGAGAACACAAUAUGGACAUAAAAUCAUCAAUGGUGAUGUCUGCCUGUCUCAUUUCACUAAAUAACGUUUGUAUGAAGGAGGAAUAGAACAGAAUCUGUCCGUCCGCUACUGGAUGUGUACAUUUAUACGGAACUCUUAUUAAACCCAGAAAUAAGACAUGUCUAAUGUUAACUUCAUUAGCUGAACACAAGGGGUAGGUGGGUAGUUUCAGCCAGCAGUAGGAGAGGGCGCUGUACAGUAACACCCAGUGUGUAAGAUGCAUUAACCGCUAGAACAGGGAUGUCCAACCUGCGGCCCCCCAGAUGUUGCUGAACUACAACUCCCAUGAUUUCCUUGCUAUCUGUUUAAUUGAAAGGAUCAUCAGGAGUUGUAGUUCAGCAACAUCUGGGGGGCUGCAGGUUGGACAACUCUGCGCUAGAACAUACCCAUCAGUUAUUGUAUACACUGAAUAGUAAAGGUUCAUACAUCAGAAAAAUACUAAUGGAUUUCCUGUAUCAGCCUGUACAUUUUAAUCUUUCAUUAACAAAUAAAACGGGUGGACACGUUUUAUUCCGUAUAAAAUUACCAUCCAGCUAAAACAAAUUCUAAAUACCGUCCUACUACUGUUGAACAUUAAGGAAAUGGUCUUUGACUUUUAAAUCCUGUCCCUAAAAUAUGUGGUGAAAUGGUGUAGUGUCUCAGCCCGUGUUUUACCAUCUGUCCCCAAUCUACAGCAUUGGAGGGUGCCCCCUAGCUGGUAGUCACUGCAUGGCGUCAUUCGUGUCACACAUGAUUGUCGUGGAAAUUCACACUGUGACAGAAAAAUACCCUGUUGCCUUAAAGCCCCGCACACCCUACUGAAAACAAUAGAUAGAUAAUCUUCAAUGCGUGGGUUGAUUGGCCAACAGUGCCCAGCUUAGUUGCAGGACAUAUUAGUAUAGAGUAGCUUUAGUGGCAGAGAUUUACGAGCAUGGGAGAGUGUGUAACCUUUCACUAUCCCCUCAUUAAGGGUUAAUACAUUGAUAGGUAUUCAGGAAAAAUUGCUUCACCUUACAAAACUCUAGGUUAAAUAUUUUUUGAAGUGAAACAAUGUGAGUAGUGGGUUUUAUGUUUUUAAAUAUUCAAUAGUUAUAUAGUUACAUAGGCUGAAAAGAGACAUGUGUCCAUCAAGUUCAGCUUUCCUCACAUUUGGUUUUUGCUGUUAAUCCAAAAGAAGGCAAAAAAAACCCAGUUUAAAGCACUUACAAUUUUGCAACAAACUAGGAAAUACAUUCCACCUUGACCCCAGAAUGGCAGUCAGAUUAAUCCUUGGAUCAAGAAGCUAUUACCCUACAUUAAAAAAUGACAUCCUUGAACAUUCUUUUUUAUGCAUUAAGUUGCUGUUUAAACAUCUGUACAGACUCUGACGAAAUCUUCUUUCUUCCAGUCUAAACGCAUGGCCUCGUGUCCUAUGUAAAGUCUGGUUUUGUAAAUAGAUUUCCACACAAUGGUUUGUAUUUGCUUCGGAUAUAUUUGUAAAAUGUUAUCAUAUCCCCUCUGAUGCGACGUUUUUCAAAUAGUUUUCUAUAAUAGUGAUUUUUUUUCUGACUUGUGUAACUCUUAAAAAUAUGGGGUCAGCAGUUCUCAAUGAAAAAAAUCUAGAUGAUGGCAAUAGAUGAGUAGCUAGUGAUAGAAACAAGACAUUAACAGGUCGACUUACAAAUCGGUGUAAAUAGCCGCAUAGGAAGUCAGUUUUAAUGUCCGAAUUUCGGAAGUGCAGAAGUGCUUCGGAUUUCUGAAAAGUGACAAAACAAGAGUGGGAGGGAAAAUUACAUGAAUGAUGACAGGAAGCUUGACCAAUAAGCUAAUUUCUGGCACUGGGAGCCCUAUAGAUGUGUAAGUGGUUGUGGUGGCAGUCCAGGCACCUAACCUUACCUAACAGGUAGGGGUAAGGGAGCUAUGCAAUGUUUAAGUGGUUGUGGUGGCAAGAGAGGGAUGCUUACGAAUGUCCGAAUUUCGGAAGUGCCGAACUGAAUUGUCCAAGUGCCGAAAUGUUUUACUUACCCGAAUUUCCGAACCGAAUUCUUUGCCCAUGCACAUCCUUACUUAUUUCUCUUGUGUCUCUCUUUCUCAUAGAUUUUAAGCUGGUUUGGCCAUAACCUCUUGUGUAUUCUCUGGCCUGUAAAUUGCUUGUUGACAGUUAUCCCCAUACUGUGAGUGUGGAGCGGUGUGGGCACUAUAUAAACAAUAAAGUAAAUGCUAAGAAAUCACAAUGCCAGACAUGCUGUUUGCAGCUACUAUUCGUAAAAAAAACGACAAUGAAUGUAUAAGGUAGCCUCCAGCGUAGCAUGAUCAAUCACCGCAAUCGUAACUGAAAAAACUGAAUGUCUCUCAGCAAAAAUAAAGAUAAAUGUGAUGUCUCCUAUGACUCUCUGCCCUCUGUCUCCACUCCAAUGUGUGGGUGGUGGACAAUAAAAUAUCAACUUGUCCCAGCAGAUAGGAUUAACCCCUUAUUAAAAUGAAUGGGUCAUAUGAAAGAGGAGUUGCCCAGUCUACUAUGGUCACACAGUGAACUUCCGAGGGUUGUUACGGGACCCCUAGCGAGCCCCUCAUAAUAAGUCUGUAUUUAAUCCCCCUACAGUAAGAAUAGACAAGGGGCAGCAAAAAUCUAACAUAAAAAAUAAAUAAAAAUGGAUCAGACCUAUUGUUUGAACUAUUACAAACGUGCAAAAACUUUAAAAUAAAGGCAAAAAACACAAAUUACAGAAAAAGAAAAACAAUCUGUUCAAGUACUGAUGACUGCACAGAAUAAACAUUGAAGGCUGGAAAAAUCCUUAUAAAGGGAGCCUAUCAAUGGCAGCGCUUGGACUGAGCAUUCAUAACGAUAGAAUGCCAUUAUAAAAAGAGCCAACCAAUCACAGCGCUCAGACUGAGCAUUCAAAUAGUCAGAAUGCCUUUAUAAAGAGAGCCAACCAAUCACAGCGCUCAGACUGAGCAUUCAAAUAGUCAGAAUGCCUUUAUAAAGAGAGCCAACCAAUCACAGCGCUCAGACUGAGCAUUCAAAUAGACAGAAUGCCUUUAUAAAGAGAGCCAACCAAUCACAGCGCUCAGACUGAGCAUUCAAAUAGUCAGAAUGCCUUUAGAAAGAGAGCCAACCAAUCACAGCGCUCGGACUAAACAUUCAAAUAGUCAGAAUGCCUUUAUAAAGAGAGCCAACCAAUCACAGCGCUCAGACUGAGCAUUCAAAUAGUCAGAAUGCCUUUAUAAAGAGAGCCAACCAAUCACAGCGCUCAGACUGAGCAUUCAAAUAGUCAGAAUGCCUUUAGAAAGAGAGCCAACCAAUCACAGCGCUCGGACUAAACAUUCAAACCGUAAGAAUGCCUUUAUAAAGGGAGCCAAUCAAUGGCAGUGCUCAGACUUAGUAUUCAUAGCGAUAGAAUGCCUUUAUAAAGGGAGCCAACCAAUGGAAGCGCUAGGACUGAUCAUUCAUAGAGAUAGAAUGCCUUUAUAAAGAGAGCCAACCAAUCAAGGCACUCUGACAGAGCAUUCAUAGCGAUAGAAUGCCUUUAUAAAGGGAUCCAACCAAUCACAGCACUCAGAAUGAGCAUUCAUAACUAUAGAAUGGCAGCCAACCAAUCACAGCGCUCAGAAUGAGCAUUCAUAACUAUAGAAUGGCUUUAUAAAGGAGGCCAACCAAUCACAGCGCACGGACUAGGCAUUCAGAUAGUCAGUAUUCCUUUAUAAAGGGAGCCAACCAAUCACAGCGCUCAGAAUGAGCAUUCAUAACUAUAGAAUGGCUUUAUAAAGGAGGCCAACCAAUCACAGCGCACGGACUAGGCAUUCAGAUAGUCAGUAUUCCUUUAUAAAGGGAGCCAACCAAUCACAGCGCUCAGAAUGAGCAUUCAUAACUAUAGAAUGGCUUUAUAAAGGAGGCCAACCAAUCACAGCGCACAGACUAGGCAUUCAAAUAGUCAGUAUUCCUUUAUAAAGGGAGCCAACCAAUCACAGCGCUCAGACUGAGAAUUCAUAGCGAUAGAAUGCCUUUAUAAAGCGAGCCAACUGAUCACAGUGCUCGGACGGAGCAUUCAAAUAGUCAGUAUGCCUUCAUAAAGAGAGCCAAUCAAUGGCAGCGCUCAGACUAAGCAAAUAGAAUGCCUUUAUAAAGGGAGCCAACCAAUCACAGCGCUCCAACUGAGCAUUCAAAUAGUCAGAAUGCCUUUAUAAAGAGAGCCAACCAAUCACAGUGCUCGGACUAAACAUUCAUAGAGAUAGAAUGCCUUUUUAAAGACAGCCAACCAAUCACAGCGCUCAGACUGAGCAUUCAUAGAGAUAGGAUGCCUUUAUAAAGAAAGUCAACUGAUCACAGUGCUUGGACUGAGCAUCCAAAUAGUCAGAAUGCCUUUAUAAAGGGAGCCAAUCAAUGGCAGCGCUCGGACUGAGCAUUCAUAGCGAUAGAAUGCCUUUAUAAAGGGAGCCAACCAAUCACACUGCUUGGACUGAGCAUUCAUAGAAAUAGAAUGCCUUUAUAAAGAGAGCCAACCAAUCACAGCACUUGGACUGAGCAUUCAAAUAGUCAGAAUGCCUUUAUAAAGGGAGCGAAUCAAUCACAGUGCUCUGACUGAGCAUUCAUAGCGAUAGAAUGCCUUUAUAAAGAGAGCCAACCAAUCACAGCACUCGGGCUGAGCUUUCAUAGCGAUAGAAUGCCUUUAUAAAGCGAGCCAACCAAUCACAGCGCUCGGAUCGUGCAUUCAUGGAAAUAUAUUGCCUUUAUAAAGAGAGCCAACCAAUCACAGCACUCGGACUGAGCAUUCAUAGCGAUAGAAUGCCUUUAUAAAGCGAGCCAACCAAUCACAGCGCUCGGACUGAGCAUUCAAAUGGAAUGUGUUUAUAAAGGGUGCCAACCAAUCACAAUGCUUUGACUGAGCAUUCAUAGAGAUAGAAUGCCUUUAUAAAGAGAGCCACCAAUCACAGCACUUGGACUGAGCAUUCAAAUAGUCAGAAUGUCUUUAUAAAGGGAGCCAACCAAUCACAGCGCUCUGAGCAUUCAAGUAGCCAGAAUGCCUUUAUAAAGAGAGCCAACCAAUCACAGCGCUCAGACUGAGCAUUCAUAGCGAUAAAAUGCCUUUAUAAAGGAAACCAACCAAUCACAGCGCUCGGACUAAGCAUUCAAAUAGUCAGUAUUCCUUUAUAAAGGGAGCCAACCAAUCACAGCGCUCAGACUGAGAAUUCAUAGCGAUAGAAUGCCUUUUAUAAAGUAAGCCAACUGAUCACAGCGAUCGGACUGAGCAUUCAAAUAGUCAGUAUGCCUUCAAAAAGAGAGCCAAUCAAUGGCAGCGCUCGGACUGAGCAAAUAGUCAGAAUGCCUCUAUAAAGAGAGCCAAUCAAUGGCAGCGUUUGGACUGAUCAUUCAAAUAGUCAGAAUGCCUUUAUAAAGGGAGCCAACCAAUCACAGCACUCAGACUGAGCAUUCAUAGAGAUGGAAUGCCUUUAUAAAGGAAACCAACCAAUCACAGCACUCAGACUGAGAAUUCACAGAGAUAGAAUGCCUUUAUAAAGAAAGCCAAAUGAUCACAGUGCUCAGACUGAGCAUUCAAAUAGUAAAAAUGCUUUUAUAAAGGGAGCCAACCAAUCACAGUGCUUGGACUGAGCAUUCAUAGAGAUAGAAUGCCUUUAUAAAGAGAGUCAACCAAUCACAGCGCUCUGACUAAGCAUUCAUAGCGAGAGAAUGCCUUUAUAAAAAGUCAACCAAUCACAGCGCUCUGACUAAGCAUUCAAAGCGAUAGAAUGCCUUUAUAAAAAGAGCCAACCAAUCACAGCACAUGGAAAUACAAUGCCUUUAUAAAGAGAGCCAACCAAUCACAGCGCUCAGACUGAGCAUUCAAAUAGUCAGAAUGCCUUUAUAAAGGGAGCAAACACAGCGCUCGGACUGAGCAUUCAUAGAGAUAGAAUGCCUUUAAAGAAAGCCAACCAAUCACAGCGCUCGGACUAAGCAUUCAAACAGUAAGAAUGCCUUUAUAAAGGGAGCCAAUCAAUGGCAGCACUCAGACUGAGUAUUCAUAGCGAUAGAAUGCCUUUUAUAAAGGGAGCCAACCAAUGAAAGCGCUAGGACUGACCAUUCAUAGAGAUAGAAUGCCUUUAUAAAGAGAGCCAACCAAUCACAGUGCUCCAACAGCAUUCAAAUAGUCAGAAUGCCUUUAUAAAGAGAGCCAACCAAUCACAGUGCUCAGACUAAGCAUUCAUAGAGAUAUAAUGCCUUUAUAAAGAGAGCCAAUCAAUGGCAGCGCUUGGACUGAGCAUUCAAAUAGUCAGAAUGCCUUUAUAAAGGGAGCCAACCAAUCAGCGCUCAGACUAAGCAUCCAUAGAGAUAUAAUGCACUGAUACAGAGCGUCAACCAAACACAGCGCUCGGACUGAGCAUUCAUAGAGAUAGUAUGCCUUUAUAAAGAGAGCCAACUAAUCACAGCGCUAGGACUGACCAUUCAUAGAGAUAGAAUGCCUUUAUAAAGAGAGCCAACCAAUCACACUGCUUGGACUGAGCAUUCAUAGAGAUAGAAUGCCUUUAUAAAGAGAGCCAACCAAUCACAGCACUCAGACAGAGCAUUCAAAUAGUCAGAAUGUCUUUAUAAAGAGAGCCAACCAAUCACAGCGCUUAGACUGAGAAUUCAUAACGAUAGAAUGCCUUUAUAAAAGGGAUCCAACCAAUCACAGCACUCAGAAUGAGCAUUCAUAGCGAUAGAAUGGCUUUAUAAAGGAAGCCAACCAAUCACAGUGCACAGACUGAGAAUUCAUAGCGAUAGAAUGCCUUUAUAAAGCGAGCCAACUGAUCACAGGGCCUGGACUGAGCAUUCAAAUAGUCAGUAUGCCUUCAUAAAGAGAGCCAAUCAAUGGCAGCGCUCGGACUAAGCAAAUAGUCAGAAUGCCUU